UACGUAGGGUGCGAGCGUUAAUCGGAAUUACUGGGCGUAAAGCGUGCGCAGGCGGCGCGUUAAGACAGGUGUGAAAGCCCCGAGCUUAACUUGGGAAUUGCGCUUGUGACUGGCGUGCUGGAGUGUGGCAGAGGGAGGUGGAAUUCCACGUGUAGCAGUGAAAUGCGUAGAGAUGUGGAGGAACACCGAUGGCGAAGGCAGCCUCCUGGUUGGAUACUGACGCUGAUACGCGAAAGCUAGGGGAGCGAACGGG
rnacentral:rRNA from 1 species